rnacentral:misc_RNA from 1 species
GCUCUGCCCAGGACGCACAGAUGAGAGCGCUCCGAAGACUGAGAUGAGCUUGGGGCUUAGCCGAGUAAGGAGUGAGCGGCUUUUCAGCCUCAGUGCUGCGGCAGAGGCGGAUGGAGGAUGAACUGGAGCCGUCCUUACGGCCUCGGACGCAGAUUCAGGGCAGGAUCCUGCUCCUGACCAUCUGCGCUGCCGGCAUUGGUGGGACUUUUCAGUUUGGCUAUAACCUCUCUAUCAUCAAUGCCCCGACCUUGCACAUUCAGGAAUUCACCAAUGAGACAUGGCAGGCGCGUACUGGAGAGCCACUGCCCGAUCACCUAGUCCUGCUUAUGUGGUCCCUCAUCGUGUCUCUGUAUCCCCUGGGAGGCCUCUUUGGAGCACUGCUUGCAGGUCCCUUGGCCAUCACGCUGGGAAGGAAGAAGUCCCUCCUGGUGAAUAACAUCUUUGUGGUGUCAGCAGCAAUCCUGUUUGGAUUCAGCCGCAAAGCAGGCUCCUUUGAGAUGAUCAUGCUGGGAAGACUGCUCGUGGGAGUCAAUGCAGGUGUGAGCAUGAACAUCCAGCCCAUGUACCUGGGGGAGAGCGCCCCUAAGGAGCUCCGAGGAGCUGUGGCCAUGAGCUCAGCCAUCUUUACGGCUCUGGGGAUCGUGAUGGGACAGGUGGUCGGACUCAGCACUACGGCGGCUCCGGGGCUCCGGGGACUUGGCAGGGGAGCUGGAGGAGCUGGAGGAGGAGCGCGCUGCCUGCCAGGGCUGCCGUGCCCGGCGCCCAUGGGAGCUGUUCCAGCAUCGGGCCCUGAGGAGACAGGUGACAAGCCUCGUGGUUCUGGGCAGUGCCAUGGAGCUCUGCGGGAAUGACUCGGUGUACGCCUACGCCUCCUCCGUGUUCCGGAAGGCAGGAGUGCCGGAAGCGAAGAUCCAGUACGCGAUCAUCGGGACUGGGAGCUGCGAGCUGCUCACGGCGGUUGUUAGUGUGAGUCUGGAGGGUGCCCUUCCUCCACCAGCCCUGUGGGGAGGGACCCCCAGGUCCUCUGCAUUAAACCAGUUUACACUCC